GUCGAGCGGUAAGGCCCUUCGGGGUACACGAGCGGCGAACGGGUGAGUAACACGUGGGUGAUCUGCCCUGCACUUCGGGAUAAGCCUGGGAAACUGGGUCUAAUACCGGAUAUGACCUUCGGCUGCAUGGCUGAGGGUGGAAAGGUUUACUGGUGCAGGAUGGGCCCGCGGCCUAUCAGCUUGUUGGUGGGGUAAUGGCCUACCAAGGCGACGACGGGUAGCCGACCUGAGAGGGUGACCGGCCACACUGGGACUGAGACACGGCCCAGACUCCUACGGGAGGCAGCAGUGGGGAAUAUUGCACAAUGGGCGAAAGCCUGAUGCAGCGACGCCGCGUGAGGGAUGACGGCCUUCGGGUUGUAAACCUCUUUCAGCAGGGACGAAGCGAAAGUGACGGUACCUGCAGAAGAAGCACCGGCCAACUACGUGCCAGCAGCCGCGGUAAUACGUAGGGUGCAAGCGUUGUCCGGAAUUACUGGGCGUAAAGAGCUCGUAGGCGGUUUGUCGCGUCGUCUGUGAAAACUCGAGGCUCAACCUCGAGCUUGCAGGCGAUACGGGCAGACUUGAGUACUGCAGGGGAGACUGGAAUUCCUGGUGUAGCGGUGAAAUGCGCAGAUAUCAGAGGAACACCGGUGGCGAAGGCGGGUCUCUGGGCAGUAACUGACGCUGAGGAGCGAAAGCGU
rnacentral:rRNA from 1 species